AACGAACGCUGGCGGCGCGCCUAAUACAUGCAAGUCGAGCGAGAAGACGUAGCAAUACGUUUGUAAAGCGGCGAACGGGUGAGGAAUACAUGGGUAACCUACCCUCGAGUGGGGAAUAACUAGCCGAAAGGUUAGCUAAUACCGCGUACGCUCCUUGGACUUCGGUUCAGGGAGGAAAGCGAUACCGUGGGUAUCGCGCUCUUGGAUGGGCUCAUGUCCUAUCAGCUUGUUGGNGAGGUAACGGCUCACCAAGGCUUCGACGGGGUAGCUGGUCUGAGAGGACAAUCAGCCACACUGGCACUGCGACACGGGCCAGACUCCUACGGGAGCAGCAGUAGGAAUAUUGCGCAAUGGGCGAAAGCCUGACGCAGCGACGCCGCGUGGGGGAUGAAGGUCUUCGGAUU
rnacentral:rRNA from 1 species